rnacentral:tRNA from 1 species
AUUGGGAUGGCUGAAAAUAAGUAAUAAACUGUAAAUUUAUUCAUGAAUGAAAAAAUUCUCUCAAUA